GACGUAGGGCGCGAGCGUUGUCCGGAUUUAUUGGGCGUAAAGAGCUCGUAGGCGGCCUGUCGCGUCGACUGUGAAAAACCACGACUCAACCGUGGGACUGCAGUCGAUACGGGCAGGCUAGAGUUCGGUAGGGGAGACUGGAAUUCCUGGUGUAGCGGUGAAAUGCGCAGAUAUCAGGAGGAACACCGGUGGCGAAGGCGGGUCUCUGGGCCGAUACUGACGCUGAGGAGCGAAAGCGUGGGGAGCGAACAGG
rnacentral:rRNA from 1 species